rnacentral:rRNA from 1 species
GAUUAAGCCAUGCAUGUGUAAGUAUAAAUAGUUAACUUUGAAACUGCGAAUGGCUCAUUAUAUCAGUUAUAGUUUAUUUGAUGAAGAAUACUAAUUGGAUAACCGUAGUAAUUCUAGAGCUAAUACAUGUAUAAAGUCUUGUAGACUGCAUUUAUUAGAAUGAAAACCAUAGGUUUCGGCCUAUUCGUGAGUAAUAAUAACUAAUCAUAUCGUAUGCUUAUGUAACCGAUGUGUCUUUCCAAGUUUCUGCCCUAUCAGCUUUCGAUGGUAGUGUAUUGGACUACCAUG